rnacentral:misc_RNA from 1 species
GAUGAAGAACGCAGCGAAACGCGAUAAGUAAUGUGAAUUGCAGAAUCCAGUGAAUCAUCGAAUCUUUAAACGCACAUUGCGCCCGCCAGCAUUCUGGCGGGCAUGCCUGUUCGAGCGUCAUUUCAACCCUCGACCUCCCCUUGGGGAGGUCGGCGUUGGGGACCGGCAGCACACCGCCGGCCCUGAAAUGGAGUGGCGGCCCGUCCGCGGCGACCUCUGCGCAGUAAUACAGCUCGCACCGGGACCCCGACGCGGCCACGCCGUAAAACACCCAACUUCUGAACGUUGACCUCGAAUCAGGUAGGACUACCCGCUGAACUUAAGCAUAUCAAUAAGCGGAGGA